CUUGUAUAGUGUGCAGUCCAAUUCAUUUCAGGUGCUUCCUGCUUGUUAACAUAAUCCCAAUGCAGUUUUAAAACGACAGCUAGGGUUGAUGUUAUGAUAAUGCUGCAGACUGUAAGAAGGAGACACCAUAACCAAUUUUCUAGCAUACUUUUGCUUCCAUCUUUGCAUUUCUUUCUUACUGUAUAAGAUAAUUCAGGUUCAGUCUGUUUUCUCCAGAGUCUUUCUUAUAAUGAUGUUGAUGAUUCAUUUUUCAUACAUUCCAUGUUAACUGUGAAUGUAUCACGUCUGUCUGUUCAUCC